rnacentral:rRNA from 1 species
AUGCAGCGGCAGAUGGGUGGGGUGUGGGAUACCUCAACGAAGCCUCCAAGAAGUAGUUCGACGCCGCCGCAUCAUCGUUGUUGUGGACACCGCCGGCGGCCAAGGGUUUCCCCCGGUCCCAGGAGCCCCACCGCCAAAACACCGCCAACCGCCGGAUCCGGCGAGCAGGGCCGCACCGGAGCUGAGAUCAAACGGGAGAAGGCGAGGAGGGUGGAGUUGGAGCUGGUCGAUUCAGAUCUGGAGGCCGACCGACGGAGGAAAUCCGGCCACCGCGAGCUCCAUCCACCGGGGCCUCGCCGCCCAAGCAAGCCGAGGAGCCCAGCCGAGCACCCGCAGCCGCCGUCCGCCGCAGGGAGCAGUGCUACCCACCUUGACCGGGGCCGCCACCCCGGCACACCAUGCCCUCCGUGCGAGGCAGGAGUGGCAAGCCUCGUUGCCACCUUCCUCGGCGCCGCGCGGGCUUGCUGGCGGCUACUCCGGUGGCGGCAAGGUCGGGAGGGAGGAGGGGAGAGACCGGCGGCGGGCUAG